rnacentral:rRNA from 1 species
ACGCUGGCGGCGUGCCUAAUACAUGCAAGUCGAGCGGACAGAUGGGAGCUUGCUCCCUGAUGUCAGCGGCGGACGGGUGAGUAACACGUGGGUAACCUGCCUGUAAGACUGGGAUAACUCCGGGAAA